rnacentral:rRNA from 1 species
UACGGAGGGGGCUAGCGUUGUUCGGCAUUACUGGGCGUAAAGCGCACGUAGGCGGCUUUGUAAGUUAGAGGUGAAAGCCCAGGGCUUAACCCUGGAAUUGCCUUUAAGACUGCAUCGCUAGAAUUGUGGAGAGGUAAGUGGAAUUCCGAGUGUAGAGGUGAAAUUCGUAGAUAUUCGGAAGAACACCAGUGGCGAAGGCGACUUACUGGACACAUAUUGACGCUGAGGAGCGAAAGUGUGGGGAGCGAACAGG